rnacentral:rRNA from 1 species
UACGUAGGGGGCAAGCGUUGUCCGGAAUCAUUGGGCGUAAAGCGCGUGUAGGCGGGUCGGUAAGUCCGCUCUGAAAGCCCGGGGCUCAACCCCGGGAGGCGGGUGGAUACUGUCGACCUCGAGUCCGGAAGAGGCGAGUGGAAUUCCUGGUGUAGCGGUGAAAUGCGCAGAUAUCAGGAAGAACACCCGUGGCGAAGGCGGCUCUCUGGGACGGUACUGACGCUGAGACGCGAAAGCGUGGGGAGCAAACAGG